CUCUAUGUGGUGUAAUGGUUUGAACUUUGGACUAUGACUCUAGAGACCAGGGUUCAAUUCCCAGCUCAGCCA